AGGAGAUGACCAACGGAGACACUCCAACAAUUGGCUACCGAGGGGUUGGAUACAACCCAAAUUUUGCCCAUGCCGACGAAUACCCUCCUAGUCAAGAGCAUGUUCAAAUCCAAAAAGAACCUAUCGAUUUGAAUGUUAUGUCGAACAAGGAGACAAGAACGCACUACCGUACAGAUGAUAAGCGACACAUAUAUUCUGAGAUCCUUGCCCGUAAUGGUGGGGGUAAUAGGUUGAAGCAUGGAGUUUCUAAAGCUGUUGCACUAGCUUGUGAAUGUCCAAGGAGAAUAGUGCAAAGGGUAUGGCAGCAGGCUAAAAAUGGUGGAGGCAUUACAGGGGUAAAAAACAAUCGGAAGCUCAAAUCAGGAAGGAAAAAGAUAAAUUUAAACAUAGAUGCAUUGGAGGCCAUCCCACCUGGAGAGAGAACAACAUUAGAACAAGUUGCUGGACAUCUAAACUUGUCAACUACCACUGUUUGGAGGAGGUUGAAGAUGAAGGAAAUUUGACGAAUAACAAGUGAAUUGAAGCCCGCCUUGACUGAUGCAAACCAAAGGGCUCGUCUGGAGUAUGCUCUUAUGCAUCUUGAACCAUGUAGCAUAACAUCCCUAGGUGGUAUUAAUCCCACAUUUAGGGCUGAUAUGGAUGUGGUUCAUAUAGAUGAGAAAUGGUUUUAUCGCACGCGGAA